GGCUUGCGCGUUGGUGUAUCGGUGACCACGAGUCACCGAGGUGCCGAAGGGAAACCGUGAAACGUGCCGCCUGGGAAGUACGGUCGCAAGGCUGAAACUUAAAGGAAUUGGCGGGGGAGCACCACAACAGGUGGAGCCUGCGGUUUAAUCGGACUCAACGCCGGGAAGCUCACCGGAUAAGACAGCUGAAUGAUAGCCGGGUUGAAGACUCUGCUUGACUAGCUGAGAGGAGGUGCAUGGC
rnacentral:rRNA from 1 species